rnacentral:rRNA from 1 species
GACGUAGGGGGCGAGCGUUGCCCGGAUUCACUGGGCGUAAAGCGCGUGUAGGCGGUCUGUUAAGUCGGAUGUGAAAGCUCCGGGCUCAACUCGGAAAUUGCAUCCGAUACUGGCAGACUUGAGGACGGUAGAGGUCGGUGGAAUACCAGGUGUACCGGUGAAAUGGGCAGAUAUCUGGUGGAACACCAGUGGCGAAGGCGGCCGACUGGGCCGAUCCUGACGCUGAGACGCGAAAGCCAGGGUAGCGAACCGG